UACGGCACCUAAAUUAUAAGCUGCAAGAAGCACUCUGUGCCAAGGUGCUUGCAAAAGACAGCAGAGCCAAUAGGAGUACGAAGAGCUUCCAUUCCGCAUCCACAAGUCAUCAUGUGCCAGAGGGUUUUUAUGGAAGUGAAGAGGACCAGGUGUUGGUAGGUGGCCAUGAUCACAGAAUUGUGAUGGCACCUGAGGUUGUCCGGCCAGCUGCACAGCUCCCUGCCCCUGCCCUGCAGCCUGCCAGGGGACUGCCUGCCUCACAACCCCAUGCUUUGCCACCUUCAGUGCGACGGGUUGUUGAGAUGCACUGUGGCGAAAAUGUUUGGCUGCACAAGGACACCUUCGAGACCUUGCUGGGUGCAGAAAGGGACGCUUUAUUUGUUAAGAAGGCGGCAGUGGCUAUAUGGUCGUCGGAGGUCCUCA